AACGAACGCUGGCGGCAGGCUUAACACAUGCCAGUCGAGCGCCCCGCAAGGGGAGCGGCAGACGGGUGAGUAACGCGUGGGAACGUACCUUUUGGUUCGGAACAACUCCGGGAAACUGGAGCUAAUACCGGAUAAGCCCUAACGGGGAAAGAUUUAUCGCCGAAAGAUCGGCCCGCGUCUGAUUAGCUAGUUGGUGAGGUAACGGCUCACCAAGGCGACGAUCAGUAGCUGGUCUGAGAGGAUGAUCAGCCACACUGGGACUGAGACACGGCCCAGACUCCUACGGGAGGCAGCAGUGGGGAAUAUUGGACAAUGGGCGCAAGCCUGAUCCAGCCAGGCCGCGUGAGUGAUGAAGGCCUUAGGGUUGUAAAGCUCUUUUGUCCGGGAAGAUAAUGACUGUACCGGAAGAAUAAGCCCCGGCUAACUUCGUG
rnacentral:rRNA from 1 species